rnacentral:rRNA from 1 species
CAAUAGCGUAUAUUAAAGCUGUUGCGGUUAAAAAGCUCGUAGUUGGAUUUCUGUCAAGGACAACUGGUCCGCCCUCCGGGUGAGCACAUAGUUUGGUCUUGACAUCUUGCUGGAAGCUGUUGCUGCACUUGGCUGUGUGGCGCAGUGUUCAGCACUUUCACUUUGAGGAAAUUGGAGUGUUUCAAGCAGGCACAUGCCUUUGGACACAGUAGCAUGGAAUAAUUAGAUUGGGCUUUUGCUCCAACUUGUCGGUUUCUGGAGCUGAGGUGAGUAUUAAUGGGGAUUGUUGGGGGCAUCCGAAUUUAGCCGUCAGAGGUGAAAUUCUUGGAUCUGCUAAAGACGGACAACUGCGAAAGCGUUUGCCCAGGAUGUUUUCAUUGA